rnacentral:tRNA from 1 species
GAAAUAUCAAAAUUAAGCUUCUAACUUAAAAUUUAGCAAUUCUUGUUAAUAUUUCU